CGUAGGGUGCGAGCGUUGUCCGGAAUUAUUGGGCGUAAGAGCUUGUAGGCGGUUUGUCGCGUCUGCCGUGAAAUCCCGGGGCUCAACCCCGGACUUGCGGUGGGUACGGGCGAGACUAGAGUGUGGUAGGGAGGACUGGAAUUCCUGGUGUAGCGGUGAAAUGCGCAGAUAUCAGGAGGAACACCGAUGGCGAAGGCAGGUCUCUGGGCCACUACUGACGCUGAGAAGCGAAAGCGUGGGGAGCGAACAGGAUU
rnacentral:rRNA from 1 species